GCUUCGGGAUCGACUCGAGAGGGGGCCCACCAGCACGGAGACACUGCAGCCCUUCAGUUUUUGCCACCAAAGAGGCCGCAUUUAAAGUUAGUUCAGGGGUCCGGUCCCGAGAGGUGCUGCACUCCCUUAAAACAGUCUCCCAAGCACAACCUCCCUCACAUGCACAUGCCCCAAUAAUGGCGCCUGAUGUUCACUGUGUGAAUGUUACAAAUGUCAAAUAAUGGUUUUGUUUUGUUCUCAAAACAUCAUAAAUCAAUCAAGUCUGGGCGGGAAAGUGUUACUGUUCCCAGCUGGAACGCCAGAUGGCGACAACCCCUCCCCCACAGUGCUGGAGGUCAGUCGACUGAUUGUUCAUCUCCCUCGGUGGUGCGCAUGCACAGUUUCACCAUGGGUACAGAGAACCAUUGCCAUGGGCUACUGCUUACAGUUCAGGGCCUGGUCGCCUUGCUUCCACUCUUAAAUACACACAGUUGUAGCAGAAGAAGCAGCAGCAGUGCUGAGGUAAGAAAAAAAAAACUCAUUGGAGGGGGCUCUGUGCGAGGGCGCAGCAGUGAGAGGGGUGUGGACGCCAGCACAGUGCAAGCUCCACAUCAAUUAUCUGGAGCUAUUAGCUACCCUUUUAGCUCUGAAGCAUUUUCGUCCCAUUCUGACAGGUCAUCAUGUUCUGAUCAGGACGGAAAACACAACCAUGGUUUCCUACAUAAACAUGCAGGGAGGGACAUGCUCUCUUGCCCUGUUAAAACUGCCUGACUCUCAGUUGCUAUGGUGCAGUGUUCAUUUUCUUUCACUCAGAGCCACACAUAUUCAGGUAACUUAAACCUUGGGCUGGACCUUCUCUCCAGGGGGGUCCUCUUGUGAGAGACUGGAGAUUGCAGCCACUCUAGUGGUGGCUCAGACAUGGGACCUCCUCUCCCAGGUGGGAGGAGAGGCGAUUCACCCACGCCCAAAACUGUGGCAACUAUAUGCCUACCUGUUGAAAGGUCCAAAUUAAUAGCUCAGGGUCUGCCCCCAAAUGUAGUGACAACAAUCCAGAGUGCAAGGGCAUAAUCUGCUAGGGGCCUACAUGCCUAUAAAUGGCGGGUAUUUGAGCAGUGGUGUCAGGACCGAAAUGUAUUCCCAUUUCAGAGUUCUAUUGUGGAUGUUUUAACAUUCCUUCAGGAGCUGCUGGAUAGGGGUCUCUCUUUCUCAACAAUUAAGGUCUAUUUGGCAGCUAUAUCAGCAUGCCAUGAUGGCUUUUAUGGUGUGAUGCCAGGCACUCACCCUCUUGCUAUGCGCUUCCUAAAGGGGGUAUGUAGGCUGAGACCUGUGCUUAAACUCAGUGUUCCCUCAUGGGAUUUAGCGCUGGUGCUUGAGGCUCUUGGUGGACCCCCAUUUGAGCCCAUUGAGUCAGCAGACAUGAAAUUUCUUUCAUUCAAAACUGCACUGCUACUUGCUUUGACGUCUGCAAAGUGAGUGGGUGACCUUCAUGCUUUGUCUGUGCAUCCCUCUUGUACCCAGUUCACUCUGGAUGGAUCUAAGGUUACAUUGCGCCCAAAUGCGGCGUAUUUGCCUAAGAUUAUCCCCACAACCUAUAACUUUAUGAGUUUUGAACUACUGAGCUUCUGCCCUCCUCCAUUUGCAUCUGAGGAGCAGAGGAGGUUGCAUUCCUUGUGUCCUGUGCGUGCACUACGCACUUACAUAGACCUCACUCAGAGUGUGCGUUUAUGUGACCAGUUGUUUGUCUGUUUUGCUAAUCCAGCCAAAGGCAAGGCACUGUCUAAACAGCGGCUUUCCCACUGGAUUGUGAAGGCUAUCUCCUUAGCAUAUGGCAGCAGGGGUCUUCUGUUGCCCCAAGGUGUGGGGGCACAUUUAACCAGGGGAAUGGUGGCCUCAUGGACCUUGUUUAAAGGGGUUUGCACUGCAGCCAGUUUAUCAUCCCUGCACACUUUUUUUCAGUUUUAUCAUUUGGAUGUGACAGCCCCUUCAGUGGCUCACACUGUCCUUUCUGCUGGGUCUACAAUGCUGGAGCCUAUCUAGAGACGAACAACCAUCCAUGUUCAUAAUUGCAAUUUAAAAGUGACCAAUUAACCUAACCCCAAUUCUGCAUGUUUUUGGGAUGUGGGAGGAAACCGGGGUACCUGGAGUAAACCCAUGCAGACACAGGGAGAACAUGCAAACUCCACACAGAAAUGCCCUGACCUGGGUUUCGAACCCAGGACCUUCCUGCUGUGAGGUGACGGAGCUAACCACUACAGCACUGUGCCGCCCUCUUUUCAGCUCUUCAUGUACAAAUGAGUCUGCAAUGACAGGAGGUAAAAGCCAUGCAGGUGUUACUGGAAAGAGGACUUUGGGACAAAAUUUUCUCCCAUAACAUCCAAUUUCCACAGCCAAAUUGUUCACAGUCCAAGCAUAGCACUCUCUCUUUGCUCGUCCACUUUCCCAGCAUGGUUGAAUAGCUACUACUGCAGGAUGAUCUUCCCCAUGUACUUGUAAAUGAAAAUAAUAAUUUAACAUCACCUGCUUAAGUCUUAAAUUCAGUGGCGGUUCAUUCAUUUCCACUUGCACUGCAUUAACCGGAGAAGUCUUAAUUGCUCCACAGCAUAAUCUCAAUGCCUGCUUUUGAAUCACCUCUAUCUUUUUUAACAAUGUUUUAGAUGCUGACCCAUACACAAUACACCCAUAAUCAAUCACAGAUCGUAUUAGAGGAAAAAUAAAUGUUUUUCAUAGCACACCGACUUGCUCCCCAUUAAGACCCUGCCAGACAUCUCAUGACAUGUAAUACCAUUUUACUUUUUUUUUCUACUUUACCAAUAUGCUCAUUCCAGGUUAACUUUGAUUUAAAUAAAACACUGAGAAAUCAAAAGGUAUUUACCUGCUCUAGUUCCUUACCAUACAACUUUACAUCAACAUUUCCUUUUAGUUUCUUCCUGGUAAAAAUCAAUAUUUUUUUUUUCUACAGAAAACUUAAAGCCCCAUGCAUACAACUGUAACAAUAAUAAUAAUAAUGUAAUCUUUAAAGAAGCGAGAAGGGAUGAUUAGAUUCAAUGGCCAGACUUAUCAGAAGCUCUAAGAUUUGACUACGGAGCCCAGGAUCGACCAAUCGAUGCACAAGAACGACACAACCACAGUGCACUCUUUAAGAAAACAGAAAUGCUUCCCUAUUUAUUAAACAGAAUGGGAAGGCCACAAUAAUAAUACAGUGUUAACACAAUCUAAACAACUCUUACCCGGGUAAGUAUGAAAAUAAAUAAAAAUCUCUGCAGCUGCUUAUGUCACUAAUGUUCAGUCCAACCAACUCUGUACAAUUGAAAAUAAGUCCCACCUCACUAGUGUGAGGGUGAUGUGUAUGUAUGUCACAGUGUAAAAGGAUUCAGGGUCCGCGGCAUCUCUAAGUAUCCUCCGGGGUUUGGCUCGCCAUCAAACUUCGACUGGCUCCAUUAUCCACGUAGGUCCAACUCUGAAUGGGGUCCAACAGAAAAACCUGACCGAUGCGUUUCUCCUCCCGUACGGCUUCUCUCACUGCGCUCACACAGGUCCAGGUCGGCCGGGGGAAUUUUUCCAACAGCUUUCUCUGACUUUUAUCCAGGUUUUUAAUAGUUUUACCAUCCGAAAUUGUGUUCUGACUCAUCUCGUGUUCAAUCUGGCUUGUUCUCGUUCUCAUAGCGGCUUCAUAGGAAGUGAACUUGCGCCGAUCGGGUCAGUGGGUGGGAGCUUCUCUUCUGAUUGGAUGAGAGACCUCUCUUUCAAAUUACAAAUCCAUGACAUUUCUGUUACUGUUAAAUUUCUUCUUCUAAGUGAACAUUUCUUUCAAUCGACUAAUAAGCAUCAUAUUCAAUGAAUUGAUUUUCCACUAUGAAUUUAACAGUCUCUAAAUUUAAACAUCUUGGAUUUUAAUACACAAUGAACUAUUUCAAUACAGAUUUUUAACCUGGGUUACACAACCAUUUCUCCACCUUUCCAACUUCAUCUUGAAUCCUUCCUUGCAUAGUUUUAAGAUUUUCCCCCUUUUCUAUUAUGCCCCAUCAUCAGCAAAUGAUGACCCCCCAGUAUCAUAGCUUACAUAAUCAAAAACAUCAUUAAUCAUAAUAGAGAAUAAUAUUGGGCUAAUUACACUACCCUGGGGCACUCCAUUAUCCACCUGAUGCUUUGUGGAGAGCCUUGCUCCUACUUUCACUUGGAUUUACUUAUUAAAUCUUUAAUUCAAUUAAAAGUUAUUCUGUUAAUUCCUAUUUUACUUAACUUAAUCAUUAAUCCCUCUGUCCAUACCAUGUCGUAUGCGUUUUCCACAUCAAAAAAUACAGCCAUAACAGAUUCCUUAUUUACUUGAACUUUUUUUUAUCUCUGUUUCUAAACUGAUUACCAGAUCCAUAGCCCCCCUCCCUUUUCUGAAUCCACACUGGCAAGGAGAGACUAGACUUUACUUUCAAUCCUUUCCAUGACUUUAAGUAAGGGCAAUUGGUCUAUAACUAUUCAGGUUAAAAGGGUCCUUUCCUGGCUUCACUAUCAGGACAAUCACUGCGUUUUUCCAACUUGUUGGUAACCUACCUUCUUCCCAUAUUUUAUUAUACAUACCUAACAGCUUAUUUUUCAUCCAGAUAGGACUCGAGCGCCCUGAGAGUGGCAGCAAGUCACAGCAGCUCCUCACAGAUUUUACGUUUUUUCCUUCUUAUUGUUGUUUUUUGCACCUUAUUUGUCUUUCUUUUUAUUUAGCAGUGUUGUGUCUUGCAUAUUCCAGCCAUGGAUGUGCAUUUCAUGACUCUAACACUUUGUUUUCUUUUACUUUUCGGAGUUUUUAAGUCCGCGUCCGGCGACCCAUUCAGCGGCCCCAUUGUUUACAGCCGUGAACAGCUGUUGGCGCUGCGCCAAGCCCGGCCACCUUCGUGGGAGAGACAGGACAUCCCCGCCAAGCUCCGCAGGAGAAGAAGCAGAUGCAGGGCUGGAGUUCAGCAUCGGGCAAAGCAGAGACUUUUUAAACCAACUGUCCCGUCCAUCAUCAUGGGAAACGUGAGGUCUCUCCCCAACAAGAUGGAAGAGUUCACAGCGCUGACUCGGCUGCAGUGGGAGUAUCGGGAUUGCAGCCUCAUGAUGUUCACGGAGUCAUGGCUGAACGAACUCACUCCGGACCUGCUCGUAACUUUGGACAGAUUUCACUUCAUCAGAGCGGACCAGAGCAUGAGGGAGAGUGGUAAGAAGAAAGGAGGCGGGAUAGCGUUGUAUGUGAAUGAGAGAUGGUGUAAUGCUGGGCACGUCAGUGUUAAAGAGCAGCGCUGCUCUAAGGACAUUGAGCUGCUGGCUGUGAGUUUGCAGCCAUAUUACCUGCCGAGGAAGUUUUCGCAUGUCAUCGCAUUAACAUCCCCCCCUCAGCUGAUGCUGCUGCAGCCUGUGAACUCCUCCAUAGUGAAGUGUCCAAGCUACGAACAUAACACCCUCAGUCUCUGAUCGUCAUCUCUGGAGACUUAAGUCAUGCAUCGCUCUCCUCCACUCUCCCUACCUUCAGCCAGUAUGUAAACUGCCCGACAAGAGACAAUAACACUUUGGACUUACUGUAUGCAAACACCAAGGAUGCAUACACCUCCUCCCCCCUCCCCCCGCUGGGCCACUCAGAUCACAACCUGGUGAGACUGCAGCCCAUUUUCAUACCUAUGGUGAAGAAAUAACCCCCCCCACCAUCAGGUAUGUUAAGAGGUGGUCUGAGGAGGCCACUGAGGCGCUGCAGGACUGUUUUGAGACCACAGACUGGGAUGUACUGUGCGGCCCACAUGGUGAUGACAUCGACACCAUGACAGACUGUAUCACAGACUACAUAAACUUCUGUGUUGAGAACAUCGUACCCACCAGGAAAGUAUGGUGUUACUCCAACAGCAAACCCUGGGUGACCCCGGAACUUAAAGUCCUCCUGAAGGAGAAGAAGAGGGUCUUUAAAUCUGGGGACAAGGAGAAGCUGAGGAGGGUGCUGAAGGAGCUGAAGAAGAAGAUCAGAGAGGGAAAGGCCAGCUACAAGACCAAGAUGGAAAACCUUUUGCAACAGAACAACGCAAGGGAGGUCUGGAGAGGCCUGAAAUCCAUCUCAGGUCAUAGCAGGGGCCACGAGAGGGGACCUGAAGCAGGAGACAGGGAGUGGGCCAACGAGCUGAAUCUGUUCUUCAAUAGAUUUGACUCUGCUCCCACUCCUCCCCCGACUCAUCAAACCAACGACCCGUCUGCUGCUUCUUCUUCACACCACCUUAGUCCCAUGGCACCGGCAUCAUCAACCCCCCUCCACUCAUCCUCCACCACCCCCUCCAGCACCACUCCCAGUCUCUCCAUAACAGCUGACCAGGUGAGAAGUGAGCUGAGGAAGAUGAAGCCAAGGAAAGCCACGGGGCCUGACGGCACCAGCUCCAGACUCCUGAAGGACUGUGCAGACCAGCUCUGUGAGGUGCUUCUGCACAUCUUCAGCUUGAGCCUGAGUCUGGAGAGGGUCCCAACACUGUGGAAGACUUCCUGCAUGAUUCCUGUCCUCAAGACAGCACACCCCAGGGAGCCCAACCACUUCAGACCUGUGGCCCUCACUUCUCACCUGAUGAAGACUCUGGAGAGGAUCAUGCUGAGGAACCUCCGCCCCCUGGUGAGCUCUCAUCUGGAUCCUCUGCAGUUUGCGUACCAGCCGAACAUCGGGGUGGACGACGCAGUCAUCUACCUGCUGCAGAGGUCUAUGGCCCACCUGGAGAAUACCGGCAGCACUGUGAGGGUCAUGUUUUUUUACUCCUCCAGUGCGUUCAACACCAUCCAGCGUUCACUGCUCAGGGGGAAGCUCGAGAGGGCGGGAGUGGACUGUCACCUAGCCACAUGGACCGUGGACUACCUCACCGACAGACCACAGUUUGUGAGGCUUCAGAACUGUGUAUCGGACAUGGUGGUCUGCAGCACAGGAGCUCCACAGGGGACAGUGCUCUCCCCCUUCCUCUUCACCCUGUACACCUCAGACUUCAGCUACAACUCUGGGAGCUGUUACCUCCAGAAAUUCUCUGAUGACACAGCCAUCGUCAGAUGUGUAUCGUCAGGGGAUGAGUGGGAAUACAGGACUGUCAUCAUUGACUUUGUCAACUGGUGUGGCACAAACCACCUCCAGCUCAACGCCAGUAAGACAAAGGAGAUGGUUGUGGAUUUCCACAGGAGGAGGACACCUCAGACUGUUCCAGUGAACAUCCAGGGUCUGGACAUCGAGAUGGUGGAGUCCUACAGAUUCCUGGGUUUCCACCUCAACAACAAACUGGACUGGUCAACAAACACAGACGCUCUGUACAAGAAGGGCCAAAGUCGUCUCCACCUGCUGAGGAGACUGAGGUCCUUUGGAGUGUGCAGGACUCUGCUCAGUACUUUCUAUGACUCUGUGGUAGCAUCUGCACUUUUCUAUGCGGUGGUCUGCUGGGGGGCAGGGAGCACUGAGAGGGACAGGAAGAGACUGAAUAGACUGGUCAGGAGGGCCAGUUCUGUCCUGGACUGUUCUUUAGACUCCCUGGAGGAGGUGGGUGAGAGGAGGAUGUUAACAAAGCUUGUAUCCAUCAUGGACAAUCCCUCUUACCCACUGCACCAGACUGUGGGGGCUUUAAGCAGCUCCUUCAGCAGCAGACUGAGACUUCCACCUUGCAGGACGGAGCGCUACCGCAGGUCAUUCCUCCCCUCUGCAAUAAGACUUUACAACGAACUGUAAUAAUAACUGGACUCACACCAGCAUGGCAUUUAAAUUGUGUAUAUUGUAGAUAGUUUUAUUUUUCAUCUCCCUUUUUCCUUUUUCUAAUUUUUUUCUUAAUUAUUACAUUUAUUUAAGUUCUUAAUAUUGGGAUCUUUAUUUUUAUAACUGCAUUUUUACACUCUUUGUGCAACUUUUCAGCUAAAAUUAUGUUGCAAACAUGAUCAGAGGACAUCAAGGAUUAUGAAAAAAUGAUAGAAAUGGUUAUGAAAUUUUGAUGGCAGGUCCCCUUUAAGUCCCAAAGAGGAAAAGAACAACCCGGACUGUUAUCGACACAAAGUUCAAAAGCCAGCAUCUGUGAUGGUAUGGGGGUGCAUUAGGGCAUGGGUAACUUACACAUCUGUAAAGGCAACAUUAAUGCUGAAAUUUACAUACAGGUUUUGGAGCAACAUGUGCUGCCAUCCAAGCAAUGUCUUUUUCAUGGACUCCCCUGCUAUUUCAGCAAGACAAUGCCAAUCCACAAUGUGACAACCCCUCCCGCUCCUCCUCUGCUUUCUCCCCUUGCAUGUGUCUGAUUCUGCUCUGUGUUGCAGCCUCAGGGAGAUGGUGGAGGGCGGAGCUGGGAGGGGCUGAGUUACCUGCCCAACAGGGCAGGGCCAGAGAGCAUAAAAGGCCUGGCUGAAAUGCUGUAGGUCUCUCUCUCAGCAGGGCCUGCACCUACUACACCAGCCACCACCUUUUUGGGUUUGAUCAUCGAACAACAUCCACCACACACAUGCUCACACAUCCAACAUUUGCUGACACUACUGAUCUUAAUCCUGACGCCUCAUACUCAUUGAUAAUCAUUUUUGUUAAAUAAAAUAUUUUGGUUAACGGUUAUUGUUGUGUGUUGCCUCCCUUCUUGUUAUCUGCCUUCAGCCAGGCAGUAAAAGCACGUGUUACAACAGCGUGGCUUCAUAGUAAAAGAGUGCGGGUACUCGACUGGCCUGCCUGCAGUCCAGACCUGUCUCCCAUUAAAAAUGUGUGGGGCAUUAUAAAGCGUAAAAUACGAACAGAGACCCCCCCCUGCACAGCAUGCAGCCUCUGAAUCCUACAUGCUACACAAAACAGAAUAAAGUCAAAACAGAAUAAAGUUAAAACAGAAUAAAGUUAACACAGAAUAAACUUAACAGAAUAAAGUCAAAACACAAUAAUAAUCCUUAUAAUAUAGUAAUAUAAUACAGUUUUUUUUUUUUUUUUUUUUUUUUGGCAUUAUUACUGGCAGCCACACACUUGCCCUUUUGUAAGUCAUCCGUGGGAGUGGAGGCAGGCUGCAAAGCAGUAAAAAACUCUGAUUCUAUCAUUUUAUUUUUGUAAAAUACAGACUUUUGUCCCUCAAUGUAACAAUUCAUUCAGGUAAUGAUUUCAGUCCUUUAAUGUCACAAAUUUAUUUUUGUAACUUGACGACAUCAUUUGAGUAAGAAAACCUUAUUUUCUUUGGACAAUAGGACAAAAAAUUUGACCAUCAGGACUUAACUUUUGACCAUAUUAUGUAAUUUUGUUUUGCAACUUUUAAAAGUUCUUUUUAUUAAUAAAUUUAUUUUGUAACAAAUUUCUAAUACAUGACAACUUCAUUCUCAGAAUAUUAAAAUUUUCUGUCUGCAACAUUACAACUGGUCUUGUAACAUAAUUUCAUGUCUAUUAUAUUUUAACUGAAUUUUGAAAAGUUAUGACUUUUUUUGUAACAUCAUGACUUUUUUUUUUUUAACACAUUUAUUCUCAGAGCAUUAAGCUGCUUUUCUCGAACAUCAUGAUGUAAUACACACAACAUCAGGGUUUAAAUUCUUGUAUCAUUAUGACCUUAUUCUCACAAUAUUACAACAUUAUUCUUGUUACAUUGAACUGUCUUUCAUCCCUCUAAUAUCUUUACAUUAUUUUAAGUUAAAGACAUCAUCCUGUUUCUCACUCCGGUGUUUUAAAAUAUUAUUUCAGCCUCCAUCUGAAUCACCUUUAGUUUUUUCAUCUGCUCCUGUUUUGAGCAAUUUACAUCUAUUUUCUAAGAUUAUAACAACAUACACUUACCUCGUGAUUUGAAAUUUUGCAUACAUCUGGUACAGACACCAAACAUUUUAACUUUGCAGCUUUUGUUUUAAAUAUGGAAAAGUUUUAACCCUCCCUUUAAAUCUGUGUUUUUAAAGGUGGCCCUUAUACUCUGUUGUAGAUACUGGAUACAUUAAUUUCUCUAACUAUCCUGAAUCAGGUUGAGAUUUAAAAUCUGAUUAAUAAUUUUAGCAACUGUAUUAUAUUUCUCUAUAACUAUAUAACUAUAAUAACCAUAUAUAUUUUACAGCUAUAUAAUAUUUCUUUGAAUAAAGUGACUCUGCUAUAUGCAGUAUUUGAGCUUUUGGUCCAUCCCAAGCAGCUACAGCAUCACAGUAACUGAAGCUUAAACCCCUUAGGAAAAACUUUUAUUUACUGGUAGCUAUAUUUAAGAGGUUAUAUUUUAAAGAAUCAUUGUGAACAAUAAGCUUUGUGACUUGGGUAGAGCUACAUACAGAUUUUUAGUAUAUGGAGACAUUUUUUAUAAAACAUUACUAAAUGACUAAAUGAAUCUUAUUGACAGGAGCAAAAUAUAAAAAAUUAAUGAAGAUCCGAUCUCACUGAAAACAGAACAUAUUUGGACCUUUACGAGUCAAUACAAACUGUUUAUUUAGAGGUGGUUUCAGGUAAAAACAAGUUCUGUGGUUCUUUUUAUCCCAGGGUUCAAAUCUGUCUUCUGUUUAAACUCAACAGAACUCAGACCAGCACAUCCACGUUAGAGUUGUGUUUCUGUGAAAAUAAAACUUGCGCACUCCUCACACCUCGGCUGUGAAUUUUCACACUCAUCCUGUUGUUCUUUUCUUGUAUUCAAAUGAGCUUCACAGUUCAGAGAAAACAGCAGAGAAGUGAAGAGCCAAGAAGGUCUUCAGCGCUCAGAUUUCACUGAUUACUGCAGCAAAGAAAACACUGACAAGUUUAGAUUUUUCUCACUGUAAAGGAACCUGAACAUCAAGCAGAUCAAAUGUACCACUUUAUUCACAGGGAGGCCCACAACACCUCCUAUAUAUCAAACAUAGUUUUGACAGGAGAGUAGCCUGUAGCAGAUUACUUGAAUUAUAACUUUCUCUCACUCAUCUCACCAUAUAGAAACCAACUAGCAGCAUUAUUGGUGUGUCGGUCAUGAAAGAACUGAUCAAAAGAACUAGUUCUUUUUGGUGAACGAAAUGAACGAGGUCACCCCCCCUAAAUGAUCCGUUCAGUCCAUCCAGUUCUUUUGAUUGGCUGAAGAGUCAGUUCACCGUUCCUUAGGGCGGGACUAUCUCUGUGCUUGCCUGUCUUAUCCUUUUGUCGCGCCUUGCUCUGUGGGUGGGUGGGGCUUAGAGAAGCAGCAGCAGUAUUGAGCUGACUGACAGACCAGGACCGAUGACCGACUCGGUCUCCGUCUUUUCAGUCAGCUCGGUCUGACCGAGAGAUUGACUGACUCUCAGACUGACUGAGUACAAGCGUUCACUCUCUGUGAGGUGCUGUCAGCCUGUCACUAUACGACCGACUUGUGAACGCAACGGGAUGUACUGAAUAAAAUAAACUAUAAGGCAGUCUCUUGGGGGGGGGUAUCUGUACUCACGAGUCCAACAAACAGUGCCGCGGCCGCCGCACGAGCCGACAGCCGAGCCUGAGCGAGCGAGACAGUCACACACACACACACACACACACACACAGGCACACAGCUGCUGCUGCAGCCAGAGGCAGAGACUCACUAGCAGAAGGUUUAGCAUACUUAGCUAACAAACAGCGGUUGCUAAGGGUACGCGGGGUUGCUUGAGGCAGCAGGAUGCGUUUGUCCAGUAAAAUAUCCCGAUGCUGUACGGUGUCUGUGUACAGAUCUGUAUUCAGCCACCAUUUGAAUUAGUACCAAUGCGUAAUGUGCUAGCCUAGCUGUAUAGCUUGGUUUAGCUGGGUCAACAUGCCAGUGUUUCGGUGUAAAAAGUGACCCUGUUACCUGGAGACUUUUGAAAAAAUUCUCAUGAGAUUGUCCCAAGUCGCACAGCUGUUGAAUACGUAUCCUUAGAUCUCUCUGUGUUUUGAAUGUCAGCAAAGACGUAUCUGUUGGAAAUACUUGAUGUUAUUGUCACAAAGGGAGCUAAGAGGCUCUCGUUCGUUCAGAGUCUGAACAGAUCUCCCCCUGCAUAAACCCGGUCAGCGCGUCUGAAUGAACAUGAACAUGAGCGAAUGGACUGACUAACGACCAAUUGACCGAAAUGACCGAAAUGAAUGGAUCUUUUUACUGAACGAACCGGAAUGAUCCGGUUCUCUUAUAUGAACAGUUUUGCCCACCACUAAGCAGCAUGCUACAAUGCGACACAAACAGCUGGUUUUAACAGAAGUCCUGCCUCUGACGAAGCAAAAUAGCCAACUUUGUAGGAUUUGAGGGUGGCCAUUCAGAUUUCAAAGGGGGCUAAGGCCACCCUAAUUCAUCCCUCUGGACACAGCCCUGGUCAUAGUGUUAGUUGCAGUUUCAGACUGGGAAACUGCACAUGAACAAAACUGGCGUGGUCACUUUCUCUCUUGUACAAGCCUCCGCCACUGUUGUUGAUGAAGACAUUAUGAGAAGCCCUGCCACCUCUCCAUCGCAACCAAUCAAUGGAUCUUUCGUUUAUACACCUCCAAUUCACAACAAAUAUUUUCAGACACUUCACUAGAACUGGUCUAGACAAGACACUUCAAGAUAUUUACAAAGGCUAACAUAAAGUUAGGAUCUGAUUAAGUCUCAUUUAGUAAGACCAGACCCA